CCCGAAGUCGGAAUCGGCAAAGGUGAGCCGGGACAGCCUUCUUCCUCCGCCCAGCCACCACAGUGAAUUGUCGUCAAGUCUGCCACAGGAGGAUAUUUUGUUCUGGGUUAACCUGCUUUUCUACCUCGCAGGUUGUUUAUCAAUAUUGUGUAAUUUUAAUUACUCCUAGAAUUUCCGCAUGUGUUAGCAGUAAUUAUUUGAAUUUGGUCUGUAAUAUUAUUAUUAUGUUGGACCUGUAAACUUAAAUAUGUUAUGCAUGUUGAUGGAUUGGAUGAGGGAGCUGAGCUCCCAUUUAUUUUAUGUUGAUGAGUAUGUGGAGGGUGAGCUGAGCUCCCCAAUUGAGUA